rnacentral:rRNA from 1 species
UACGGAGGGUGCGAGCGUUGUCCGGAAUCACUGGGCGUAAAGGGCGCGUAGGCGGCCUGAUAAGUAGGGGGUGAAAUCCUGCGGCUUAACCGCAGGGCUGCCUUCUAAACUGUCAGGCUGGAGCACAGUAGAGGCAGGUGGAAUUCCCGGUGUAGCGGUGGAAUGCGUAGAGAUCGGGAAGAACAUCAGUGGCGAAGGCGGCCUGGUGGGCUGUUGCUGACGCUGAGGCGCGACAGCGUGGGGAGCAAACAGG